ensembl:lncRNA
CCUCUCCUUGCUUUCAUUUGUCCAGAAGUCCUAAAGGAGCCGAGCCGAGUGGGCAUCAGUGCCUCUGGUUUCACAACGGGCGCUUGGGGGUGGAGAUGUUAUCCACACGUGGAUGGGUGAAUCUCUGCAGCCAACAAACCGCAGCACCUGGGGGUGUUUGGCAAGAACUCCUUGCAUCCCCAACAGACAGGAUCACCCAGCUCUCAAUAGAUGGCUCAACGUGAUGCUUCCAGCCCUGCUGGAUUCCCUCCCUGGGAUCCCAAAGCAGAGCCAUUCCCCGCAUCCCCUCAGAAGCUGGACUCCACUUCUAGUGCUCCAAAAAAGAGAUGGUGGAUGUGGCGUGCGUUGAGCUCACCAGGGACUCGGGACCACGGUUCGACUCUCCCAUCCGGAUGGAUGCAAUUUUCAUGCCAUUUUCAGCCCGUGCAAUUGGUGGAUGGAUGCUAAUUCCUUCACUGAUCUAUUUUUUUCCUCAAUUAAAGGCAAUCUGCGCUGUUGACUCAGGCUCGGGUCCUAAGGGGCACAUGCGGUGGAAGAGCCCAGCCACCACCGAGGGGACCGAAGCGGAUGUUGGUUUUAUUUUGGGAGCCGGAACAGAGCGUCGGCGACGGCGCGUUCUGCAUGGAGCAGCCCACGUGCCCUUCACUUCUCUGUUUCACUUCUGCUUUAUGGAAAACGUUGCCAUGCUCGGCCACGCGGAGCAAAACAGGAAGCCAGAUCCCAAGGGGGAGCUUUUCAAUUCCUCGAAUUUGCCUCUUUCUCCUAAAGAGGCAACCAGGAUUUGCUGGAAAGGGGUAGAAUGAGAGAAAUGAGGAAGAAGCUGGGGAUGAGUCUUCCUACAUACUGCAGGCUUCAGCUCAUAGUGAAAGCAAAUGCACCACACGCACUGAACAGGUUGCCCAAGGAGGCUGUGGAUGCCCCAUCCCUGCAGGCAUUCAAGGCCAGGCUGGAUGUGGCUCUGGGCAGCCUGGGCUGCUGGUUGGCGACCCCGCACAUAGCAGGGGGUUGGAACUGGAUGAGCACUGUGCUCCUUUUCAACCCAGGCCAUUCUGUGAUCCUAUGAUUCUAUGAUUGUAUGGGGAGAUUUGGGGGGAUACUCCUGAUACUGACGCUAAUUCAUGGGAAUUCUGUGCUGAUGGAGCAGGGUGGACUCAGAUUUUGGAGGGAUGCAUUCCCUGCUCAGCAGAGCUCAGAUCAGCACCAGCUCUUGGCAGCACCCUCUAAACAACCCUGGGCGCAGCGCUGGUGCCCAGACGCUUUGUACAAACACGGAGGUGAAACCAUAACAAGGGGAAUACAGUCCUGGGGGGUCCCAGCCAUCAGCUGUCUGGGUUGGGCAUCGCUGCUGCUCCUUCUUUUCUGAUGGGGUCUGUGCUUGGGGAUGCUGUGCUCAGUCCCAGCUGGUUUUCGGUUGGGCACAUGUGAGAAUGGCCAGCCACAUCCCUGGGGUUGUCCCAUGGUGGUCAUCUGCCGAUGGGUGGAAUAGUAGAAUCACAGAGUUAGGUUGGAAAAGACCUCUAAGAUCCCCAAACCAAACCGCAUCGCACCCCACCGUGCCCACUGCCCACGUCCCUCAGUGCCACAUCCCCACGGUUCUGGGACUCCCCCACUCCUUGGGCAUCCUGUGUCCAUGCUCCAUGGAUGAGGACUCAUCCACUUCCCUGAGCAGAUGGGUGGGGGUGGGCUGCAGCUUGUAGUGGGCUUGGAGGAGGUGAAUCCGGAUGGCCUGGGCUCUACAGCUCUGUGAUGUGUUAUGGACGUUGGGACAGGCUCAAAGGGUCUGCAGAAGCAGCAGAGCACACACUCAGAGCCUGAAGUAACACCAUACAACAUCAAGAUGUGGGUGGAGGGGCCGACGUCUCCUUGUCUUGUGGAUUCUGUUGCCCACAUGGGGCAGGAACAACCCUUGCCUCAGUUUCCCCACUGCACACGGGGUUGAAUGCUCUGUUUUUCCAGCUUGGAAAUUGCACCAGGACUCUCACGUGGAGGCUGCAGCCCCAUCUGCUGCAGGGAAAGCUCCUGGAGCAGCCAGCCCCAGACCUGCCCAAGCCAAAAAUGCUGAAGCAGGUCCAUCCCGUUUGGGAUGUGUUGCACAAACACAAAGGCAGCAGCGAUGGGGGGAGGAGAGGAAUUGCUGGUGAACGAGAUCAGCUUGUUCCCUGUGUGUGUCGGCAGGCAGAGCGGGCAGCAGUGGGUGGCCUGGCUCACAGCACCACUGCUGCACGUCACAGCUGCUAUUGUGCAGAUAUCAGCCUCUCUGAUGUGCCUUAUUUCCAUCCUUCUUCCCACAAAUGCAUUCUUCUGUUUGCUUGUUUGUUGUCUUUUAAUUGCAUUUUAUUUCAUGUCGUGUCACUGCACCGCACUGCAUUGCAUCGCAUGGCAUUGCACGUUAUGUCAUUGCACAACAUUGCAUUUCGUUACAUGUUAUACCAUGGCAUGCCAUUGCAUUUCAUUUCACUGUAUGUCCUGGCAUGACGUAGCAUGCCAUAUCCUUGCACUACAUUUCAUGUCAUUGCAUGCCAUUGCAUGCCAUGCCAUUUCACAGCAUCUCACUUUAUUGCAUGCCGUGUCAUAUCCUGUCCUUGAUCUGCAAUUCACUUCAUUGCAUGCCAUUCCGUUGCAUGCCACUGCACACCGUGCCAUUGCAUGCCAUCCCACUGCAUGGCAUCUCGUUGCAUGUCAAAGCAUGCCAUGUCAUUGCACUGCACUUCCUCACGCUGCAUUUCAUUGCAUAUCAUUUCAUUGCAUGUCCUCGUAUGCAAUGCCACGUCACUGCACGACGUUCUGUUUCACUGCACUGCACUGCACUGCUUGUCACAUCGCAUCAUGUCCUUGCACAGCGUGGCGUGUCACUGCGUUGUGUUGCACUUUUUUGCCACGUGGGCACUGCCAGACAGCUCAGACCCACAGCCAGGCUCAUGGAAAGCCCUCGAGCACUUGGGAGCUCUUUCUGCAGGCUGCUGGCGGGCUCCUGUAUUCUGUUCACAUGUAACUGAUCUCAGCAGGGUGGAAGCUGCUCUAGCAUAAACUUUAGGGAUAAACCAGCCAGAUUUAUGAUCAACAGAAGGUCGUUUUCUUUACGAGGGGGAAUGGAAGAAAGCAGGGCAGCGUGGUGAUGGUAAAUCACAGCGAUGACUCCGUCCUGGGUAUGGAGUGGGCUGGAGGCUCCAUGCCAGGAACCCCAGGCGCCCUCAGACACCACAGACACCACCAGGCCAAGCAUUCAGGCAACGCCAAUCGCGGUGAUUUAUGACAACGAGCUUUGCCACGGUGCCCAGUCUGGGAAAUGACUCCGAAGCUCUCCUUUUGCAUCACUCUUCUUCCUCCCCUGCACCUUUCCAGAGCUGAACACCGAGGCCAGGGGAAGCACCUCUGGUGAAAGACUUGUGAAAUAGGUUUAAUUUAAUGCGUCCAGUAAUCCUAGGCAUUCCCUUUUCCUUCCUGUUAUUAUCUGAUGCGAUUCUCUAUUCUGGGAUCCUUAGAAACACUGACUUGAAGGGAAGCUGAACAAUAACAAAGGGGAUUAAAAUAAAACCAGAAAAAUAACGAGGAUGGUGUACGAGAAGCUGUGAUUCCAGGAAGGCUGGAGGGGAAACGUGACCGUAGAGUCAUGGAAUGGUGGAAUGGUUUGGGUU